rnacentral:rRNA from 1 species
AGUAACGCGUGGGUAACCUGCCGCAUACAGGGGGAUAACAGUUAGAAAUGACUGCUAAUACCGCAUAAGCGCACAGUGCUGCAUGGCACAGUGUGAAAAACUCCGGUGGUAUGAGAUGGACCCGCGUCUGAUUAGCUAGUUGGUGGGGUAACGGCCUACCAAGGCGACGAUCAGUAGCCGGCCUGAGAGGGUGAACGGCCACAUUGGGACUGAGACACGGCCCAA